rnacentral:rRNA from 1 species
UACGGAGGAUGCGGGCGUUAUCCGGAUUUAUUGGGUCUAAAGGGUGCGUAGGCGGACUGUCAAGUCAGCGGUAAAAUUGAGAGGCUCAACCUCUUCCCGCCGUUGAAACUGGUGGCCUUGAGUGGAUGAGAAGUACGCGGAAUGCGUGGUGUAGCGGUGAAAUGCAUAGAUAUCACGCAGAACUCCGAUUGCGAAGGCAGCGUACCGGCAUCCAACUGACGCUGAGGCACGAAAGCGUGGGGAUCAAACAGG